GCAGUGCCCUGGCUCUGUCGCUGGUGUAGCAAUACACGAGAGGAAAGUCCGGGCAGCAUAGGGCUCCCCACUUGCUAAAAUACAAGUAGUCAGUGAUGAUUAGCUAAGGCAGAAGAAAAUAACCGCCCCCCAUUUUUACUUUUCAUACGCAUAGGGGGUAAGGGUGAGAAGGUGGUGUAAGAGACCACCAGGCAUUUGGUGACAAGUGUGCUGUGUCUGCUGGGGGCUGCAAGUUCAAGUAUACCAUCGUCAUGUUUAGGGUUGCCCGCCCGAAAGUUUAGCUUACGAUGGAGGGUAGAAUGCUUAAGCCGUAUGGUGACAUACGGAUUAGAUAAAUGACAGGCACCACCUUAGGGUGGCACAGAACCCGGCUUAUAGGGGCACUGCUUUU
rnacentral:RNase_P_RNA from 1 species